AAUUCAACUAGACAGGAAGGUCAAAGGCGAAUUGUGCUGCCCGCGGCCUUACAGGCUGGCAGAGGGUGAUGCAACGGGGGUCAGGAGGGACGGGCGAGGGCCGGGGGUGGGGGGUGCGUGCGGCGGCGUGAUCACUGGAGGCUAGCGGGGGUGUCGGACCUACAGAUUCGCGCCGAGGCUACGCGGGUGGCCGGCAGCGGGAGACAAGGGCAGGCGACCGCUGGGCCCGGUGCUGCCCGCGCCACCAGCGCAUUCCUGGCAGUAGGCGUCACGAGCGCCGCGGUUGCUUGCGCUCACGUUACAAUUCCUCCAAGCGCUGAAUACACACGUAACUGCGUCGCUUCAGGGAUUUUCUCCCACCUCCCACUACUACCGCUGCGCUCCCAGCCUCUCCGACAACCAUCAGGUUAGAUCCCGGAGGGGCGCCCGUCGCGAGCCAGAAUGCACCUCUGUAAAAGACAACAAAAUAAGAACCAGCCAAGGAAAGCAAAUAAGUUUCGUGACUUCUUUUGAACGUGUGAGGACCAUUUGACUUGUCCACAUCCCAGAAGGCGGAACUACCUCUGCAAGUCCAAGAAAGCUGGUACUGACAAUGUUGUAGCUGAACCGGAUACCCCCCAAUAGUCUCCAGCCUCGAGGAAGCAGCUCUACCUCUAUCUUGGAUAAAAUGAAUUUUAAGAGAUCACCUUGAGUGUUUGUAAAUAGACAGACUUUGCCACUGUGUAUUUUUUUAAUGUUUAUUUACUUUUGAGAGAGACAGAGAGAGAGAGAGAGAGAGGGAGAGAGAGAGGGAGAGAGAGAGACAGAGACAUGAACAGAGGAGGGGCAGAGAGAGAGGGAGACACAGAAUCUGAAGCAGACUCUGAAGCAGACACAGAAUGCUUCAGAUUCUGUGUCUCCCUCCGAGCUGUCAGCACAAAGCCCGACGAGGGGCUUGCACUCACGGACUGCGAAAUCAUGACCUGAGCCAAAGUCGGAUGCUUAACCAACUGAGCCACCCAAUCGCCCUGCCAUUGGUUGGUUUAAAAUUACUCAUUUGGUUUACAUUAUGUGAAUAUUCAUUCCACAUAGUUUUAUGGUAAUUAGAGCUAUACCAGGGCCAGAACUUCCUUCUUGCAACCCAAUAAAGUGAUUUUUUUUAGAGUUACAUGCCGCGAUUUCCAAACAGUCAAGCACUCUAGACAGACCAGCACUACAGCUAUUCUGAAGACUCCCUUGGAAAUCUGUGGCAUAUUUUAUUCAUUUCUGUGCACUUUUAAUAGAUAUGGAAAGUGUCUUAGUCAGCUUGGGCUGCCAUAACAAAAUACCACAGACUACAUGACUUACACAACAGAAAUUUAUUUUCUCGUAGUUCUGGAGACUGGAAAGUCUAAGGUUAAGAUCCAAUGGAGUUCUGUUUCUGGUGAAGCCUUUCUUCCUAGUCUGUAGAUAGCUGUCUUCCUUCUGUAUCCUCACACGGCCUUUCAUCUGGGUGCACAAGGAGACAGAGACAGAGAGACAGAGAAAGACAUCUCUUCCUCUUCUUAUAAGGCUAUCAGUCUCAGCUGAUUAAGGCUCCACCCUAAUGAUGUCAUUUAAUGUCAUUACUUCCAUAAGAUCCUAUCUCCAAAUACAGUCACAUGGAGUUAGGGCUUCAACAUAUUCAUUUCGGGGGCAUAAUUUAGUCCAUAGCCAACCAUAAAUAUGGAGAUUUACUGGCAUUGUCUUGA